GGCUCUUGUAGCGCACUGGUCUGC
rnacentral:siRNA from 1 species